rnacentral:rRNA from 1 species
GGCGAACGCUGGCGGCGUGCUUAACACAUGCAAGUCGAACGAGAAUCUGCUGAAGGAGGAUUCGUCCAACGGAAGCAGAGGAAAGUGGCGGACGGGUGAGUAACGCGUGAGGAACCUGCCUUGAAGAGGGGGACAACAGUUGGAGACGACUGCUAAUACCGCAUGACGCAUAGAGGUCGCAUGAUCUUUAUGCCAAAGAUUUAUCGCUUCAAGAUGGCCUCGCGUCUGAUUAGCUGGUUGGCGGGGUAACGGCCCCCCAAGGCGACGAUCAGUAGCCGGACUGAGAGGUGGAACGGCCACAUUGGGACUGAGAUACGGCCCAGACUCCUACGGGAGGCAGCAGUGGGGAAUAUUGGGCAAUGGGCGCAAGCCUGACCCAGCAACGCCGCGUGAAGGAAGAAGGCUUUCGGGUUGUAAACUUCUUUUAAGAGGGAAGAGCAGAAGACGGUACCUCUAGAAUAAGCCACGGCUAACUACGUGCCAGCCGCCGCCGUAA